GCAUAUCGAUCAUACGAUGAUCAUGAAUGGUUCUUUGAUAUUUCAUUGCUUUUACUAAUGAAGGUCAUAGUAAAAGUCAUAUGGAUCUUAUAGAUCGCGAAAUUGAAUACUUUGAAGAAGUUCAAAGAGAAUUCAAAAAUAAAGUUAAGCACAAGAAAGGAUAUUAAUACUUAUCGAUUAGAUUGAGUAGGUUAUUGCCUUAGUAUUGAGC
rnacentral:lncRNA from 1 species